rnacentral:rRNA from 1 species
GAUGAACGCUGGCGGCGUGCCUAAUACAUGCAAGUAGAACGCUGAAGGAAGGAGCUUGCUCUUUCCGGAUGAGUUGCGAACGGGUGAGUAACGCGUAGGUAACCUGCCUGGUAGCGGGGGAUAACUAUUGGAAACGAUAGCUAAUACCGCAUAACAGUAGAUGUUGCAUGACAACUAUUUGAAAGGGGCAAUUGCUCCACUACCAGAUGGACCUGCGUUGUAUUAGCUAGUUGGUGAGGUAACGGCUCACCAAGGCGACGAUACAUAGCCGACCUGAGAGGGUGAUCGGCCACACUGAGACUGAGACACGGCCCAGACUCCUACGGGAGGCAGCAGUAGGGAAUCUUCGGCAAUGGACGGAAGUCUGACCGAGCAACGCCGCGUGAGUGAAGAAGGUUGUCGGAUCGUAAAGCUCUGUUGUAAGAGAAGAACGAGUGUGAGAGUGGAAAGUUCACACUGUGACGGUAUCUUACCAGAAAGGGACGGCUAACUACGUG